rnacentral:tRNA from 1 species
GCCGGUGUAGCUCAGUGGUAGAGCAUCCCGCUCGUAACGGGAGGGUCGUGGGUUCAAUUCCCACCACCGGCUC